UUGUAAAAGUAAAAAAACGUAACAAGGUUUCCGUAGGUGAACCUGCGGAAGGAUCAUUACAGUAUUCUUUUUGCCAGCGCUUAAUUGCGCGGCGAAAAAACCUUACACACAGUGUUUUUUGUUAUUACAAGAACUCUUGCUUUGGUCUGGACUAGAAAUAGUUUGGGCCAGAGGUUUACUAAACUAAACUUCAAUAUUUAUAUUGAAUUGUUAUUUAUUUUAAUUGUCAAUUUGUUGAUUAAAUUCAAAAAAUCUUCAAAACUUUCAACAACGGAUCUCUUGGUUCUCGCAUCGAUGAAGAACGCAGCGAAAUGCGAUAAGUAAUAUGAAUUGCAGAUUUUCGUGAAUCAUCGAAUCUUUGAACGCACAUUGCGCCCUUUGGUAUUCCAAAGGGCAUGCCUGUUUGAGCGUCAUUUCUCUCUCAAACCUUCGGGUUUGGUAUUGAGUGAUACUCUUAGUCGAACUAGGCGUUUGCUUGAAAUGUAUUGGCAUGAGUGGUACUGGAUAGUGCUAUAUGACUUUCAAUGUAUUAGGUUUAUCCAACUCGUUGAAUAGUUUAAUGGUAUAUUUCUCGGUAUUCUAGGCUCGGCCUUACAAUAUAACAAACAAGUUUGACCUCAAAUCAGGUAGGACUACCCGCUGAACUUAAGCAUAUAAA
rnacentral:rRNA from 1 species